AGGCAUGGUGUUACACACCUUUAAUCCAAUGAGACAGGCAUGCUGAUGUCUGCAUUCAAGAUUCAAUCUACAGAGCAUGAACCAGGAUAGCCAAGCUUAGGCAGUGAAGGAUUUAGAAAACAUAAAGCUAGUGAUAAUGUAAUAGUACAAGGGGAUCAUAUUCUAGUUCCUGUAAGCAGCAGAACUCGGCAGCUUCAGCCAUGUGGCUUUGGCUCUAGAGUUAAGAAUGGAAGAAACUACUAGGAAAAUUGAUGCUGGCCUUGUGUGUUUAC
rnacentral:lncRNA from 1 species